UCUCGUACACACGGCUUCGGGCUACCUACUCGAGCCAGUUAGAGAGUACGGGGCGUUCACAGACUCCCUUAGCCCGCCAGCAUGCUGUAAGUACUUCCCCUUUAUCUUUUCUCUCUAGCAUUCUCAGUUUAUUUUCAGCAUUGCUCACUUAGAAACAACCUAAAUUAUGUAGGCAUAUAAGGCCUUUGUCGAGCAUAGGAAUCUCGAGGUGCGAGAGUACUUGCAACGAGUGAAGGCAAACGAUGAUUACAACCGUCAGAUGAUGGCGGCUAUGUUGGCGUCUUGGAGUAACCGCACGGAUCCACCACAAAUGGGACCCCCACCACCACCUGCGGGAGAACCCCCACACGUGCCCACGUUCGAUGAAUGGGUGGCACUAGGCAGUGAUAGUCCGGGGACCGGUGGCUCGACUCCUGCUCCAUCGACCCCAGUCACUCCGAUCUUCCAGAGUGAUGGUGGUCGCGGUGGCGGUUUUGGCGGUGGCGAUUUUGGCGGAGGUGGUCUUGGCGGUGGUGGUUUUGGCGGAGGUGGUCUUGGUGGUGGUGGUUUUGGCGGAG